rnacentral:rRNA from 1 species
CCUACGGGUGGCAGCAGUGGGGAAUCUUGGACAAUGGGCGAAAGCCUGAUCCAGCAAUGCCGCGUGUGCGAUGAAGGCUUUCGGGUUGUAAAGCACUUUUGUCAGGGAAGAAAUGGUUCGGGCCAAUACCCCGGACUUCUGACGGUACCUGAAGAAUAAGCACCGGCUAACUACGUGCCAGCAGCCGCGGUAAUACGUAGGGUGCAAGCGUUAAUCGGAAUUACUGGGCGUAAAGCGUGCGCAGGCGGUUUACUAAGACAGGUGUGAAAUCCCCGGGCUUAACCUGGGAACUGCAUCUGUGACUAGUAGACUAGAGUUUGGCAGAGGGGGGUGGAAUUCCUGGUGUAGCAGUGAAAUGCGUAGAUAUCAGGAGGAACACCGAUGGCGAAGGCAGCCCCCUGGGCCACCACUGACGCUCAUGCACGAAAGCGUGGGGAGCA